rnacentral:rRNA from 1 species
UACGUAGGGGGCAAGCGUUGUCCGGAUUUAUUGGGCGUAAAGAGCGUGUAGGCGGCUAGAUAGGUCCGUUGUGAAAACUCGAGGCUCAACCUCGAGACGUCGAUGGAAACCAUCUGGCUAGAGUCCGGAAGAGGAGAGUGGAAUUCCUGGUGUAGCGGUGAAAUGCGCAGAUAUCAGGAAGAACACCCGUGGCGAAGGCGGCAUCCUGGACCGGCAUUGACGCUGAGGAGCGAAAGCCAGGGGAGCAAACGGG